rnacentral:rRNA from 1 species
AAGAUUAUUUGUAGAGGAGAGGUAGAAUUUCCAGGGGGUAGCCGGUGAAUAUGAGUUAGAGAUUCUGGAGGAAUACCCGCUUGCCGAAGGCAGUCCAUCCGGGCUAAAUCACCCACGCUUCAGGUACGAAAGCCAUGCGUAGCAAACCAGGAUUAGAUACCUCCGGUAGUCCGUCUCUCCUAAACGAUUUUCUAUUAUUUGGUCGGGUCCCCCGAGGGAUUGCCUUCCUCCUCUACCGCGCUCAAUCCCUCCACCUGGGGAGUGAGUUUCGCAAGGAUGAAUACGGGUAUUAAUGAAUCGGGGGUGGACACGCACAAGUGGUGCAGCAUGUGCCCUAAUUUGAUGCAACGCGAAGACCCUUACCUGGUCUCGACAUCCACAGAACUUAGCAGAGAUGGAUUGGUGCCUUCGGGAACUGUCAGACAGGUGCUGCAUGGCUGUCGUCAGCUCGUGUCGUGAAAUGUUGGGUUAAGUCCCGCAACGAGCGCAACCCUUAUCCUUUGUUGCCAGCGGUUAGGACGGGAACUCAAAGGAGACUGCCAGUGAUAAACUGGAGGAAGGUGGGGAUGACGUCAAGUCAUCAUGGCCCUUACGACCAGGGCUACACACGUGCUACAAUGGCAUAUACAAAGAGAAGCGACCUCGCGAGAGCAAGCGGACCUCAUAAAGUAUGUCGUAGUCCGGAUUGGAGUCUGCAACUCGACUCCAUGAAGUCGGAAUCGCUAGUAAUCGUAGAUCAGAAUGCUACGGUGAAUACGUUCCCGGGCCUUGUCCACCCCGCCCGUCACACCAUGGGAGUGGGUUGC